rnacentral:rRNA from 1 species
GUGGGCAGCUAUACUGCAAGUCGAGCGAUGAUUAAAGAUAGCUUGCUAUUUUUAUGAAGAGCGGCGAACGGGUGAGUAACGCGUGGGAAAUCUGCCGAGUAGCGGGGGACAACGUUUGGAAACGAACGCUAAUACCGCAUAACAAUGAGAAUCGCAUGAUUCUUAUUUGAAAGAAGCAAUUGCUUCACUACUUGAUGAUCCCGCGUUGUAUUAGCUAGUUGGUAGUGUAAAGGACUACCAAGGCGAUGAUACAUAGCCGACCUGAGAGGGUGAUCGGCCACACUGGGACUGAGACACGGCCCAGACUCCUACGGGAGGCAGCAGUAGGGAAUCUUCGGCAAUGGGGGCAACCCUGACCGAGCAACGCCGCGUGAGUGAAGAAGGUUUUCGGAUCGUAAAACUCUGUUGUUAGAGAAGAACGUUAAGUAGAGUGGAAAAUUACUUAAGUGACGGUAUCUAACCAGAAAGGGACGGCUAACUACGUGCCAGCAGCCGCGGUAAUACGUAGGUCCCAAGCGUUGUCCGGAUUUAUUGGGCGUAAAGCGAGCGCAGGUGGUUUCUUAAGUCUGAUGUAAAAGGCAGUGGCUCAACCAUUGUGUGCAUUGGAAACUGGGAGACUUGAGUGCAGGAGAGGAGAGUGGAAUUCCAUGUGUAGCGGUGAAAUGCGUAGAUAUAUGGAGGAACACCGGAGGCGAAAGCGGCUCUCUGGCCUGUAACUGACACUGAGGCUCGAAAGCGUGGGGAGCAAACAGGAUUAGAUACCCUGGUAGUCCACGCCGUAAACGAUGAGUGCUAGCUGUAGGGAGCUAUAAGUUCUCUGUAGCGCAGCUAACGCAUUAAGCACUCCGGCCUGGGGAGUACGACCGCAAGGUUGAAACUCAAAGGAAUUGACGGGGGCCGCACAGCGGUGGAAGCAUGUGGUUUAAUUCGAAGCAACGCGAAGAACCUUACCAGGUCUUGACUACUCGUGCAUCCUUAGAAGAAAGGAGUCCUUCGGACCGGGAA